GACGAACGCUGGCGGCGUGCUUAACACAUGCAAGUCGAACGGAAAGGCCCUGCUUUUGUGGGGUGCUCGAGUGGCGAACGGGUGAGUAACACGUGAGUAACCUGCCCUUGACUUUGGGAUAACUUCAGGAAACUGGGGCUAAUACCGGAUAGGAGCUCCUGCUGCAUGGUGGGGGUUGGAAAGUUUCGGCGGUUGGGGAUGGACUCGCGGCUUAUCAGCUUGUUGGUGUGGUAGUGGCUUACCAAGGCUUUGACGGGUAGCCGGCCUGAGAGGGUGACCGGCCACAUUGGGACUGAGAGACGGACCAGACUCCUACGGGAGGCAGCAGUGGGGAAUAUUGCACAAUGGGCGGAAGCGUGAUGCAGCAACGCCGCGUGCGGGAUGACGGCCUUCGGGUUGUAAACCGCUUUCGCCUGUGACGAAGCGUGAGUGACGGUAAUGGGUAAAGAAGCACCGGCUAACUACGUG
rnacentral:rRNA from 1 species